CAUAGCGACUAUCGUGGCAUAUCAAUAAGCGGAGGAAAAGAAACUAACAAGGAUUCCCUUAGUAACGGCGAGUGAAGCGGGAAGAGCUCAAAUUUGAAAUCUUCAAGGUUUUACCUUGACGAAUUGUAGUUUAUAGAAGUGUUUUCUGUUGAGUUUGGAGUGAAAAGUUCUUUGGAAUAGGACAUCAUAGAGGGUGAGAAUCCCGUAUUUGACCAUUAUUUUCAGCUGUGUGAUACACUUUCAAAGAGUCGGAUUGUUUGGGAAUGCAGUCCAAAAUGGGUGGUAAAUUUCAUCUAAAGCUAAAUAUUGGCGAGAGACCGAUAGCGAACAAGUACCGUGAGGGAAAGAUGAAAAGAACUUUGAAAAGAGAGUUAAGCAGUACGUGAAAUUGUCAAAAGGGAAGCGUUUGACACCAGUGUUGUCUUCUCGAAAAUCAAUUAAAAAAGGCCGGAUUUUGUGUUGUAUUGACCUUAAAAGCUUUCUUCACUCUUUUCUUGUCUUUUUUAAUGCACUUUUCGUUUAACAAGUCAACAUCAGUUUCUUUUGUUGUAAAAGGGUCAUUGGAAGGUGGCUUUCUUUUCGGAGAAAGUGUUUAUAGCCUUUGAUCUCUGCAACCGGAGAGACUGAGGUCUGCAGCGUAGACUCUUCGGGGUUAGAUACAUUUGUGCUAAGCUAUAGCUUUUUAUAGACAACUUGUUGACUAUAUUUAGUCUUGUGGCUUACUCGCUUAUGCUAUUUUACCUACGCUUAGGAUGUUGAAGAUAUGCGCGACACG
rnacentral:rRNA from 1 species